rnacentral:rRNA from 1 species
ACGAUCGGUAGCCGGACUGAGAGGUUGAACGGCCACAUUGGGACUGAGACACGGCCCAGACUCCUACGGGAGGCAGCAGUGGGGAAUAUUGCACAAUGGGGGAAACCCUGAUGCAGCGACGCCGCGUGGAGGAAGAAGGUCUUCGGAUUGUAAACUCCUGUUGUUGAGGAAGAUAAUGACGGUACUCAACAAGGAAGUGACGGCUAACUACGUGCCAGCAGCCGCGGUAAAACGUAGGUCACAAGCGUUGUCCGGAAUUACUGGGUGUAAAGGGAGCGCAGGCGGGAAAGCAAGUUGGAAGUGAAAUCCAUGGGCUCAACCCAUGAACUGCUUUCAAAACUGUUUUUCUUGAGUAGUGCAGAGGUAGGCGGAAUUCCCGGUGUAGCGGUGGAAUGCGUAGAUAUCGGGAGGAACACCAGUGGCGAAGGCGGCCUACUGGGCACCAACUGACGCUGAGGCUCGAAAGUGUGGGUAGCAAACAGGAUUAGAUACCCUGGUAGUCCACACUGUAAACGAUGAUUACUAGGUGUUGGAGGAUUGACCCCUUCAGUGCCGCA